UGUGGGAGGGGGCUUGCUCCCGAUGGCGGUAGCACAUUCAACAGUUAUGUUGACUGAGCGACUGCUAUCGGGAGCAAGCCCCCUCCCACA
rnacentral:misc_RNA from 1 species